CCAGGUCAGGACACGGUAAGGAUUGACGGACUGAAGGCUCUUUCUCGAUUCCGUGGAAAGUGGUGCAUGGCCGUUUUUGGUUGGUGGAUCGAUCCGUCUGGUUAAUUCCGUUAACGAACGAGACCUCGGCACUCCGAAUAGCGCGGCGGACGUCGCGGCCUCCGGGCCGUCUUCCGCACGAGCUUCUUAGAGGGACCGUCCCCCGCCGGGGAAGGAGGUGCGAGGCAACGACAGGUCUGUGAUGCCCUUAGAUGUUCUGGGCCGCACGCGCAUUACACUGACGCGUCCAACGGGUGACUCCCGACCCGAAGGGGCCGGGGAAUCCGCAAGGCGCGUCGUGAUGGGGAUUGAACGUUGCAAUUGUUGUUCACGAACGAGGAAUUCCUAGUAGGCGCGGGUCAUCAACCCGCGCCGAUUACGUCCCUGCCCUUUGUACACACCGCCCG
rnacentral:rRNA from 1 species